rnacentral:rRNA from 1 species
ACGAACGCUGGCGGCAGGCCUAACACAUGCAAGUCGAGCGGACCCUUCGGGGUUAGCGGCGGACGGGUGAGUAACGCGUGGGAAUAUGCCCUUCUCUACGGAAUAGUCCUGGGAAACUGGGGGUAAUACCGUAUACGCCCUUUGGGGGAAAGAUUUAUCGGGGAAGGAUUAGCGCGCGUUGGAUUAGGUAGUUGGUGGGGUAAUGGCCUACCAAGCCGACGAUCCAUAGCUGGUUUGAGAGGAUGAUCAGCCACACUGGGACUGAGACACGGCCCAGACUCCUACGGGAGGCAGCAGUGGGGAAUCUUAGACAAGGGGGGCAACUCUGAUCUAGCCAUGCCGCGUGAGUGAUGAAGGCCUUAGGGUUGUAAAGCUCUUUCAGCUGGGAAGAUAAUGACGGUACCAGCAGAAGAAGCCCCGGCUAACUCCGUG